rnacentral:rRNA from 1 species
AUUGAACGCUGGCGGCAUGCUUUACACAUGCAAGUCGAACGGCAGCACGGGCUUCGGCCUGGUGGCGAGUGGCGAACGGGUGAGUAAUGCAUCGGAACGUGCCGUGUAGUGGGGGAUAACGUAGCGAAAGUUACGCUAAUACCGCAUACGCCCUGAGGGGGAAAUGGGGGACCGCAAGGCCUCACGCUAUACGAGCGGCCGAUGUCGGAUUAGCUAGUUGGUAGGGUAAAGGCCUACCAAGGCGACGAUCCGUAGCGGGUCUGAGAGGAUGAUCCGCCACACUGGGACUGAGACACGGCCCAGACUCCUACGGAGGCAGCAGUGGGGAAUUUUGGACAAUGGGCGCAAGCCUGAUCCAGCCAUGCCGCGUGAGUGAAGAAGGCC